UGGAAAACCGAUCCAUUACGAUAAAAAUACUAUCUCGCCCCCUUCUAGUCCUCGGCAAUCCCAACACGAAGUCCAUUGAUAUGUCAAGCCAAGGACGCAAAGGGGUGGACAAUGGGGUGUACAACCCGUGGGGUUGGAGCCGUGACUUGGCUCCUUUGCACUCAACACAUGGGCCACAAAUUUGGGCCACAUCCUUGUGCAUUCUAGGCCAAUAAAAUUGUUCUUCCAAAAUUUCGAGGGUCUUCUCGACCUCAAAAUGGCCCAUUAGACCGCCCUUGUGUGCUUCCCUCACAAAUAAUUCUCUCCACGAACUUGAGGGAACACACAAUCUCUACCUUUAAACAAGUAUCCAUCAAAUUUGGUAUAGGGAUGGGAACCCCUAUCCGUAACCCACCUAUCCCUUUCCAACUCUCCACUUCCCCUAUAGAUAGGAGCGAAGUGAGGGUCCUCGGGAUAUAAAGACUUGAGGCUUUCAAACCCCAUCAACUUAGACGACAAAGUAGACACAAGCACAUGUUUUCGGGACAAAGCAUCGGCAACCACAUUGUCUUUACCCUUCUUGUAUUGAAUAACAUAAGGGAAAGUUUCAAGAAAUUCAAUCCAUUUGGCAUGCCGCCAGUUAAGCUUGUCUUGUGCCCGUAGAUGCUUCAAGAAUUCAUGAUCCGUUCGGAUCACGAAUUCUUUAGGCAACAAAUAAUGUUGCCAAGUGGACAAGGAUCUAAUCAAGGCAUACAACUCAAAAUCAUACGUAGAUUAGUUUAGAGUUGCUCUUUUGAGCUUUUCGCUAAAGUAGGCAAUAGGCUUCAAUUCUUGCAUUAAAACCGUGCCUAUGCCGACUUUGUUUGCAUCACAUUCAACCUCAAAAGUCUUGUCAAAAUUCGGCAAUUGUAGCAAAGGGGCCGAGAUGAGCAUAACUUUCAAGUUCUCGAAGGCCUUAGCUUGUUCAUCUUCCCACUUGAAAGGCCGAUCCUUUUUAAUCACUUCGGUCAAAGGGGCGGCAAUGGUGCUAAAUCCUUUUACAAAACGUCUAUAAAAACUAGCCAACCCAAAGAAGCUUCUCACUUCACCUACGAUUUUUGGAGUUGGCCAAUUUUUAAUGGCGUCAAUCUUAGAUUCAUCCACUUCGACCCAUCUUGAGCUCACCACAAACCCAAGAAAUACAACCUCAUGGACACCAAAAGAACACUUUUCCAGAUUAGCAUAUAACUUCUCUUUUCGAAGGACAUCAAACACACAUUGUAAAUGCUUUACAUGCUCAUCUAAGGACUUACUAUACACUAAUACAUCAUCAAAAUAAACAACAACAAACUUUCCGAUAAAUGGCUUCAUCACAUGAUUCAUUAGCCUCAUGAAAGUACUUGGAGCGUUUGUUAGGCCGAAUGGCAUAACCAUCCAUUCAUAGAGUCCGAAUUUGGUCUUGAAGGAGGUUUUCCAUUCAUCACCCAGUUGCAUAUGAAUUUGGUGAUAGCCACUCCUCAAAUCAAUUUUAGAAAACAAACACAAACCAUUUAAUUCAUUAAGCAUAUCAUCUAACUUAGGAAUAGGGUGAUGAUAUUUUAUCGUUAUCUUGUUGGUGACUCGGUAAUCAAUCACAUACGCCAAGUCCCAUCUUUCUUAGGAACUAGUAGCACCGGAACCGCACAAGGGCUCAUACUCUCCUUAAUAUAUCCUUUGUUGAGGAGUUCCUCAACUUGGCAUUGCAAUUCCUUGGUAUCCAUCGGGUUGCUCCUAUAAGUCGGUUUGUUGGGCAAUUGUGAACCCGGCAUAAAAUCUAUUUUGUGCUCAAUUUCCCAAAGUGGGGGCAAUCCUUGCGGUAAUUCCAUUGGGAAGACAUCCUCGUAAUCCUGCAAAACAUGAGAAAUAGGAAGAGAAAUGGAAUUGUUAGUGGCGUUAGUGUUAAAACAAUGAGCCAAGAGGAGCAUCAGAGUGUCCUCGUCAUGAUCCACAAAUAAUUCUUUCCUCCUAGCCAUCAUCACCACACUUCCUUGACCCUUAGAAAUUAAGAGCCCCUAGGUUUCCCUUACUCCCUCACUCUCGGGUUCCUCUCUUGUUCCCUUACUCUCGGCCUUCUUUCCCUUUUCCCUCAAUUCCUGUAUCUUUUGGUAUAAUUCAUUCACUUGGGAAGGCAAUAAUGGAUGAGGAGCGACCUUUCAGCCAUCCUUCUCAAGUGUAUACCUAUUGGACCUUCCAUCAUGUUUGGUCGACCUAUCGUAUUGCCAAGGCCUUCCUAACAACAAAUGACAAGCUUGCAUUGGUAUCACAUCACAAAGCACCUCAUCAUGGUAGUUGACUAUCUUAAAACGUAUCACACAUUGCCUUGUGACCUUUAACUCGCUGCAUUCAUUCAACCAUUGCAACUUGUAAGGACUAGUGUGAGGUGUAGUGAUACAAUGCUAAGGGUGUAUCAAGAGAUUCCAACCAACACAAGAACAACAAAAUGAACAACAAAGUGCUAAUAAAUCAAAAAUGGCCACACACGGCUUCACUAGGCUUGCAACGCUUGUUUGAACUAGAAAAAUGAGUUUAACAACAAGAACAACAAAGACAAUAUUGCUAGUGAAUCGAAAGAGCGCCACAUGGCUUCACUAGACUUUUAUAUUCAACAACACAAUGUUAACAAGAUUUACAAAGAAAGAGAUAGAAACUUGACACAUAAUAUUCAUUAAUCUAAGAACCCUAACAAGAGAAAGGACCCUAAGACUAAUAAAUAUCAAUACCAAGUUCUUACUUGGACCAAGAGGAACUCAAAGAACCUCAAGAACCUAGUUUCUAUCCAAGAUACAACACUAGUAUCACUCUACUAGUGAGAAUUUGGUUUUGGCCUUUCCAAAUGAUGAGAAAGAGAAGUAAAAAUUUUACAAGUCUUUAUUUCUUGAAUAAUAGGAAUCAACUAAAGCAAGACUAGCCCUAUUACAUAGCUUAUAUUGUCACUUAGAAAGGAGGGACAAAGACCAAAUUACCUUUGGCAUUUAAGUGGGUGGGUUUGGGGUGUCUUGGUGGGCCUCUUUACAUUUUAUUAAAUAUAAGCCCUUAGAUGGGCUCACAAGGGCCUUACACAUGGCCAAGAAUGUGAACAAGGCUUGAAGUCGUUGCAACUCACGUGCUUGGCUUCGUGUGAAAGAUCUCAAGCUAAGAAUUCCAGUAUCAUCCUCUCCAUCUUGAAGGGAAUUUGUCCUCAAAUUUGGAUCAUUGUCAUCCUCUACCGUUUCCACCCAAGAGAGAUCACACACAUUGAAAGUGUUGUGUACUCGAUAUUCUGGGGGUAGAUCAAUCUUGUAGGCAUUGUCGUUGAUUCUUUCUAAUACUUGGAAUGGGCCAUCACCCCGUGGCAUCAACUUAGCAUUCCUUUGAGAUGGGAAUCUAUCCUUCUUUAGGUGCACCCACACCUAAUCUCCCGGUUUAAGAAUGAGCUUUCUUCUUCCUUUGUUGGCUCGCCUCGCAACUUCUUGGUUUUUCUUCUCAAACCGGAACCUCACCUUCUCAUGUAGCUUUUUCAUGGCCUCGGCCCGUUUGCUUCCAUCUAAGAUUAUCACAAGAUUACUUGGCAAAGGGGUUAAAUCCAAAGAGGUGAGGGGGUUGAUGCCAUAUACACACUCAAAGGGUGUCAUCCCUAUGCUCGAGUGUAUAACACGAUUAUAAGCAAACUCAAUCAACGGUAAGUGCUCCUCCCAAGAAGUUNNNNNNNNNNNNNNNNNNNNNNNNNNNNNNNNNNNNNNNNNNNNNNNNNNNNNNNNNNNNNNNNNNNNNNNNNNNNNNNNNNNNNNNNNNNNNNNNNNCUACCCCACAUGGACUUCCAAAAGUGGCUUAGGAAUUUAGAAUACCUAUCACUCACUAUGCUCCUCAGAACACCAUGAAGUUUUACAACAUUAUCAAUAAACAAAGAGGCUACGCUAGGCGCAUCAUCACAUUUAGAACAAGGAAUAAAGUAAGCCAUCUUGGAAAAUCGAUCCACCACGACAAAAAUACUAUACCGCCCCUUUCUAGUCCUCGGAAAUCCCAACACGAAGUCCAUUGAUAUGUCAAGUCAAGGACGCAAAGAGGUGGACAAUGAGGUGUACAACCCGUGGGGUUGGAGCCGUGACUUGGCUCCUUUGCGCUCAACACAUUGGCCGCAAAUCCGGGCCACAUCCUUGUGCAUUCUAGGCCAAUAAAAUUGUUCUUCCAAAAUUCCGAGGGUCUUCUCGACCCCAAAAUGGCCCAUUAGACCACCAUUGUGUGCUUCCCUCACAAAUAAUUCUCUCCACGAACUUGAGGGAACACACAAUCGUCUACCUUUAAACAAGUAUCCAUCAAAUUUGGUAUAGGGAUGAGAACCCCUAUCCUUAACCCACC
rnacentral:lncRNA from 1 species